rnacentral:rRNA from 1 species
GUAGGGAAUCUUGCGCAAUGGGCGAAAGCCUGACGCAGCCAUGCCGCGUGAAUGAUGAAGGUCUUAGGAUUGUAAAAUUCUUUCACCGGGGACGAUAAUGACGGUACCCGGAGAAGAAGCCCCGGCUAACUUCGUGCCAGCAGCCGCGGUAAUACGAAGGGGGCUAGCGUUGCUCGGAAUUACUGGGCGUAAAGGGAGCGUAGGCGGAUAGUUUAGUCAGAGGUGAAAGCCCAGGGCUCAACCUUGGAAUUGCCUUUGAUACUGGCUAUCUUGAGUAUGGAAGAGGUAUGUGGAACUCCGAGUGUAGAGGUGAAAUUCGUAGAUAUUCGGAAGAACACCAGUGGCGAAGGCGACAUACUGGUCCAUUACUGACGCUGAGGCUCGAAAGCGUGGGGAGCAAACAGGAUUAGAAACCCUUGUAGUCC